rnacentral:rRNA from 1 species
AACGAACGCUGGCGGCAGGCUUAACACAUGCAAGUCGAACGAGAAGCUUCUUCGGAAGUGGAAAGUGGCAGACGGGUGAGUAACGCGUGGGAAUUUACCCUUGGGUUCGGGACAACCAUUGGAAACGAUGGCUAAUACCGGAUACGCCCCUUCGGGGGGAAAGAUUUAUUGCCCUUGGAUGAGCCCGCGUGAGAUUAGUUUGUUGGUGAGGUAAUGGCUCACCAAGGCUACGAUCUCUAGCUGGUCUGAGAGGAGAUCAGCCACAC